rnacentral:rRNA from 1 species
GGCUCAGGACGAACGCUGGCGGCGUGCUUAACACAUGCAAGUCACGGGGGCUCAGCAAUGGGCAACCGGCGAACGGGUGCGUAACACGUGAGCAAUCUGCCGAUUUCUGGGGGAUAGCCGGCCCAACGGCCGGGUAAUACCGCAUACGCUUCUUUCAAGGAGUCUUGAGGGAAGGAAACCUCCGGGGGAAAUCGAGGAGCUCGCGGCCUAUCAGCUAGUUGGCGAGGUAACGGCUCACCAAGGCGACGACGGGUAGCUGGUCUGAGAGGAUGGCCAGCCACAUUGGGACUGAGAGACGGCCCAGACUCCUACGGGAGGCAGCAGUGGGGAAUCUUGCGCAAUGGCCGAAAGGCUGACGCAGCGACGCCGCGUGUGGGAUGACGCCUUUCGGGGUGUAAACCACUGUUGCCCGGGACGAUACCUGGUUUUCGAGCCAGUUGACGGUACCGGGUGAGGAAGCACCGGCUAACUCCGUGCCAGCAGCCGCGGUAAUACGGAGGGUGCGAGCGUUGUCCGGAAUCACUGGGCGUAAAGGGCGCGUAGGCGGCUUGGGAAGUCCGUGGUGAAAGCUCGAGGCUCAACUUCGAGUCGGCCAUGGAUACUCCUGAGCUCGAGUCAACUAGAGGCAGAUGGAAUUCCGGGUGUAGCGGUGGAAUGCGUAGAGAUCCGGAAGAACACCGGUGGCGAAGGCGGUCUGCUGGGGUCGAACUGACGCUGAGGCGCGACAGCGUGGGGAGCAAACAGGAUUAGAUACCCUGGUAGUCCACGCCGUAAACGAUGGGCACUAGGUGCUUGGGGGAGCGACCCCCUGAGUGCCGGCGCUAACGCAUUAAGUGCCCCGCCUGGGGAGUACGGCCGCAAGGCUGA